AGGUAGGGUUGGAGAGGAAAAGAACCACAGUCUAAAACUGAAAAGAGUUUGUGAGGUUCUUCAGGGAUAUUAUGGUCUCCUGAAAAGAAAUCCUAACCAGGAACUCAGCACAUGUGAGCUCUAGUUCCCACUUUAUUGGGAGCUGAGUAUAAGAUCUUAGGUGUCAACUCUGCCCGCUCAGUUCCUCCUUCCUACCCACCACCACAGGACCCGUUAAACCAGGGCCAGUACCUGGUCCCCGAUGGCAUCGCUCAGUCUCAAGUGUUUGAGUUCACUGAACCGAAACGCAGCCAGUCACCAUUCUGGCAAAACUUCAGUAGGUUAACCCCCUUCAAAAAAUAAUACCUAUAGGAAGGCAGAUAAUUUUAAAAUAAAUAAAAUUAUAUUUAUAGAUGG
rnacentral:lncRNA from 1 species